AAUAACUUAAUUUUAAUUUUAUAAUUAAAUUAAAUUUUUACUUAUAUACAAUUAUUAAAUAAAAAUUAUUUAAAUAAUAAAAUUUAGUAAUAUAUAAAAUUAAAUAAAAAAUAAAUUUUGUAUUAAAAAUAAUUACAUUAUAUAUAAAAAAUUGUGCCAGCAAUAGCGGUUAAACAUUAUAUAAAAUUUAAUUUUUUAAAUUUAAAUAAAUAAAAUUUUUCAAAUAUAUUAAAAAUUAAUUUAAUUAAUAAAAUAUAAAUUAAUAAAUAAAAUAUUUAAUAAAAAAUAUGACUUUUUAAACUAUAUAAAAAACUAGGAUUAGAUACCCUACUAUUAUAAAAUAAAAUUAAAAUUUAAAAAUUAAAUGAUAUAACAUUAAAUUUAAAAAAUUUGACAGUAUUUUGAUUUAAUUAGAGGAAUUUUAUUUUUAAUAGAUAAUAAACUUUAAAAUCUACUUAAAUUAAAUAUUUAAAUAUUGCUGUUUAAAUUAUAUUAUAAAAUAUUAAUUAAAAUAUUUUUCAAAUAAAAACUCAAGUCAAAAUUUAAUUUAUAUUUAAGAAAAAAAGAAUUACAAUUAAAAAAAUAUAAUUUAUAAAAUUUAAAUUUUAUAAAAAAAAGAAUUUAAUAAUAAAAUUUAUUAAAUUAAUAAAUUUAAAAUUAUAUUUAAAUAUGUACAUAUCGCCCGUCACUUUCAUAAUAAUGAAACAAGUCGUAACAAAGUAAAGUUACUGGAAAGUAACCUUAGAAUU
rnacentral:rRNA from 1 species